rnacentral:misc_RNA from 1 species
UCACGAGUAGUGCUAGCAAACACACAACUAACAGGGUCUGAAGCUGUCAUAUAUGGGUACCAACAAAAGUCAUAAACAGAUUCCCCUUCUGUCACAACGAGGCUUGCCUCAUAGGAAUCUCCAUCAGAAUCUAAAGAACAAGCACUAGAAUCACUGCUGCAACCAUUAUCUGGUAAUGAGAAGACACGCAAGGUAUUGUCCUCCGAACUCGUUAAAAAACACGAACCGUCGGGAGACCAUUUAACGCCUUUGAGGAAAUUUUUAGGGUUUGGACCAGUCCUGAACUGCUUAUAGAAAUGGUGAGUUCUCCGUGGAGGCAAAUCAAACCUAAUUGCAGGCCACGAGUAGUCUUGUUCAGUGGGUUGAGUGGUUCCUGCAGCUACUUUCAUGGCUGAGUCCUGCUGCAGCUGCUCCUGUACUUCUCCCAUUGGNNNNNNNNNGGGUUCCGUCUCGAGACUAUCUGGGACCAAGGAGUAGCUUCUGGCUUGAACCGAAGGGUUUUUGAGGGGUUUCUGCUCCUGAGAUUUUGCAAUUUUGUAUUUUG